rnacentral:lncRNA from 1 species
UUUUCCGCACCCUGCCCCCCCCAGCUCCAGGGCCCUCCCGCCCUUUCCGCUCCCCCCGCGUCCGCCCGCUCGGAGUGCAGGAGGCAAAAGGGGAAGGAAGUGAGGACAGGAGCCAGGGCCGCGGACUCGGAGAGCGCUGGACAGCCAGAGGUCGGGCCUUGGGGACUCUGCCCCGACUGCCACUGCUUCCCGGCGCCCCGCUGUGGGAUUUUUGUAGCCCAUAUCGCCCGCACUAAACUGGAGUCAAGAUUCCAAGCCAGGCGUGGUGGCGCACGCCUGUAGUCCCAGCACUCGAGAGGCUGAGGCAGGAUGGUCACGAGUUCAAGGCCAGCUGGGCUAUGUAGCUAGUGCUUGACUCAAUAAAAAAGAAAAAACCCUAAAGCUGCACGCUCCGGGACAAGGCAGGAGCAGAAUUUGACUUCUCUUCCCAAGAACAAGGCUAAAACUCGCGGGAGGCGCUUUAUGUAGAGGGGACCCCCAGCCCUGGCAGACUGGGUGACUGCCCCGGCCCCAGCCCUCGAGUGCAGCGGACCGAAUCCGUUCCAGGUUUUCUGAAGACCACGCGCCCCGCCCACCCGUCAGGGGGCGUGGCAGGAAGUCCCCGCUUCGGGCUCCGCAAGGCUCCGGGUUUCCGGCGCGGUGGCCGGAGCGCUGGGUUUCCUGUUGCCCGGGAGAGCGCGCUGCCUGAGGCCGAUUCCCUCGCUGCGGGACGCCCGCCUUUCCCGCCACCGUUCCGACGGGAAUCGAUGUCCCCGAGGCGGGGGAAAUCGGGAGUAGCGGGAGCAGAGAUGUCCGGAGGAUCGCGUAAAUACGACUGUGGCUAGCCGCUGCGGGAGGACUACAGGGGAGAGGCGAGGCCCGCACAGUCUGCAGCCCAGGGAGGGUGAGCCCGGACCCAGCUGGGCUAGAGAGGUAGGCAGUGGUCCAGCACCGUGGACGGGGGCGGGCAAGCGAGGAUCCGGGCCUAGAGCCGCUUUCCAAGUGUGGUCUCUGCCCCAAGACUGUGUCAGGGACUACGAGAUCCAGGCUUUUGAACAAGGUAGGAUUUGCCUUUGUGGUUGUAAUUCUCAACGCACGGUGGAGUUUUCCAGAAGAUACACUGGAUAUUGACACCAUGGCGCACCUAAGGAAUGCGGUGUGUGCAUUUCUCUCUCUUUUUUUUUUUUUUUUUAUCAAAACACAGUCUCCCCAGGUAGCACAAGGUUUCUGCCCCAGUGCACGGACUACAGGGCUGCACACAGAGCUAGGUCACCCCACCUUUUUAGUUUUUGAGGCAGGUUCUUAAGUUGCUCAGGCUGGGCCACAGCUUUUGAUCUUCCUGCCUCAGCCUCCCAGAAUGCUGGAAUCACAGGCAUUUGCCAAAUCAUUUUCAAGUUCUAGUAUAAUAUCAGUAGUUAUAACCCACAUAACAAGAGGUUUUUCGGGUCUUUUUUUUUUUUUUUUU